rnacentral:rRNA from 1 species
GUACUGUGCGAACGUUAUUCGGAAUCACUGGGCUUAAAGGGUGCGUAGGGCGGCUGGAUAAGUAGGGGUGUGAAAUCCCUCGGCUCAACCGAGGAACUGCGCUCUAAACUGUCCCGGCUUGAGUGAGAUAGGGGUGUGCGGAACUUCCAGUGGAGCGGUGAAAUGUGUUGAUAUUGGAAGGAACGCCGGUGGCGAAAGCGGCACACUGGGUCUCAACUGACGCUGAGGCACGAAAGCCAGGGUAGCGAACGGGAUUAGAUACCCCGGUAGUCCUGGCCGUAAACGAUGAGCACUAGGUUGGGACGGGGUUUCGGCCUCUUCGAACGUAGCGAAAGCAUUAAGUGCUCCGCCUGGGGAGUAUGGUCGCAAGGCUG